GCUUCACAAUCCCCUCCGCGAAACCGAACCAAUCAUGUGUUGAAAGCUUAGCACAGAUCGGCCCAGCACCGGCCCUGCGGCAUCGCCCUCUGCUGCCCUGUUACGGAGUUCCGCCAUACUUGGAUCGAUCAUCGUAGGAAACAGGUUCGUCGUGGUCGGUCCGAAAACCACCCGGAGCGGUGUCGUCGCGAUAGACCCGCACACCGCGUUGGGUGACAUAGGCUGGCAUUGCAGCCUGGCUGGAACGAACGAUGACAUGUCGCGAUUUGGCAUGAUCCGUUCUUGUGGCAGCGUUGCCAGAAGCACAGAGAGCGAUCAAAAGGCAUAAUGCUAAGCCGGAACGCAUUGCAUUUCUCCAAU
rnacentral:misc_RNA from 1 species